AUUGAUUAUUUUGUGACUGAGUGGCGGACGGGUGAGUAACGCGUGAGGAACCUGCCUUUCAGAGGGGGACAACAGUUGGAAACGACUGCUAAUACCGCAUAAGACCACAGUGUCGCAUGGCACAGGGGUCAAAGGAUUUAUCCGCUGAAAGAUGGGCUCGCGUCCGAUUAGCUAGAUGGUGAGGUAACGGCCCACCAUGGCGACGAUCGGUAGCCGACCUGAGAGGGUGAUCGGCCACAUUGGAACUGAGAGACGGUCCAGACUCC
rnacentral:rRNA from 1 species